GACCGCGUAGCUCAGUUGGCAGAGCAUUGGGCUAGCCUAGUAUUCCAAAGGUCGUAGGUUCGAUUCCCACCGUGGCCA